CCACGGCCACCGAGGUGAGAGCCAAACACAACAGCUUUGCUGCUGCUGGACGCUACACUGACCACACCGGGCUCAGCUGCUUCAGCCCUGUCCUGAACAUCAUGAGGCACCCGCUGUGGGGGCGGAACCAGGAGACCUAUGGGGAGGACCCGUUCCUGAGUGGGGAGCUGGCCCGCAGCUUUGUGCAGGGGCUGCAGGGCCAGCACCCCCGUUACGUCAAGGCCAGCGCUGGCUGCAAACACUUCAGCGUGCACGGAGGCCCUGAGAACAUCCCUGUCUCCAGGCUAAGCUUCGAUGCCAAGGUGCUGGAGCAGGACUGGCGCAUGACCUUCCUGCCCCAGUUCCAGGCCUGUGUGCGGGCUGGCUCCUACAGCUUCAUGUGCAGCUACAACAGGAUCAACGGCGUCCCCGCUUGUGCCAACAAGAAGCUGCUGACGGACAUCCUGCGUGGCGAGUGGGGCUUUGAUGGCUACGUGGUGAGCGACGAGGGGGCUGUGGAGCUCAUCAUGCUAGGGCACCACUACACACACAGCUUCCUGGAGACAGCAGUUGCCUCGGUGAAUGCUGGCUGCAACUUGGAGCUCUCCUAUGGCAUGAGGAACAACGUGUUCAUGCGCAUCCCUCAGGCUCUGGCCAUGGGCAACAUCACGCUGCAGAUGCUGCGUGACCGAGUCCGGCCCCUCUUCUACACACGGAUGCGACUGGGGGAGUUUGACCCCCCAGCCAUGAACCCCUACAGCUCCCUGGACCUGAGUGUGGUGCAGAGCCCCGAGCACCGCAACCUCUCGCUGGAAGCUGCUGUCAAGAGCUUUGUGCUGCUGAAGAAUGUGCGGGGGACACUGCCCCUGCAGGCCCAGGACCUCUCCAGCCAGCACCUCGCGGUUGUUGGUCCCUUUGCUGACAAUCCCCGGGUACUGUUUGGGGACUAUGCGCCAGUGCCGGAGCCUCAGUACAUCUACACUCCCCGGAGGGGGCUGGAGAUGCUGGGGGCCAAUGUCAGCUUUGCAGUGGGCUGCAGCGAGCCACGGUGCAAGCAGUACUCACGGGCAGAGCUGGUGAGGGUGGUCAGGGCAGCUGACGUGGUGCUGGUCUGCCUGGGCACAGGGGUAGAUGUGGAGACAGAGGCAAAAGACCGGAGUGACCUGUCCCUGCCAGGGCACCAGCUGGAGCUGCUGCAGGAUGCUGUGCAGGCAGGUAGGGGCUCUGAGGGACCUCAACCCACCCAGGUGUUGUUCCCCAUCCAUGGCACACCCUGGGGCCAUCCCAGCAGUGCCAUACCGGCCUCUCAGUGACAGCCAC
rnacentral:lncRNA from 1 species